GAAAGCUCGAGCUGGCUCGUGAGCUCGGGACGGCCACGGCGGAUGAGCUCUGGGUGGCGGUGGCCACGGGGGAGGAGCUCGGGGUGGCGGCUGGCAGCGCGAGGCGAGGCGGUAGCCGCGACGGAGAAGCUCGGGGCGAUGACCAGUGGCGGAGUGGCAUGAGGCGGCUGCUAUGGCGAAGGAGCUCGGGGCGGCGGUCGUCGGCGGAGCAACGUGAGGUGGCAGCCGUGGCGGAGAACCUCAGGCAGCGGCCGUCAGCGGAGCGACGCGAGGCGGCGGAGACCGGCGGCAGAGCGGCGUGAGGUGGCCUGGCCGGUGGUGGAGGGAGCGGAUGGCCAUCGGCUCGCCGGGAUGGGAGGCAGCCAGGCGGUCGACGGCGGUGGGAGAGCCAACGGGGAGGCGGCGCGCCGACGGCGGAGGUGGGAGGGCCGGUGGCGGAGCUGGGGCCUGGCCGCCGCCCGUCGCCUCGUCCUCGACCUCCUGGUCGCCGUCUUGCCGAACGCCAAGAGAGUUCAGGUGGUAGUGUCGUGCACUUCAGCACUU
rnacentral:lncRNA from 1 species